rnacentral:misc_RNA from 1 species
UUUACAAUUUUAUGCUCAAUUAAGAGACUUGUGACAUUCUUAGACUUAAUGGGUUUAAAAUGGUGUAAAAAUUUGGUUCACAGUGUAAGGAAAAUGAAAGAUCGGACCUCUAAAGAGAGCAUCCUUGCAUUCAUUAAUGAUCCUUCCGCAGGUUCACCUACGGAAA